CAGAAACAAAGCAAGUCAAACAUUCUCAGACAAAUGGCUUUAUCGCUAUUACUUCCUACACAAAACAACAAACAUGAGCACGGGUCUGAACAUUAAUUUGGCACUUCUGACAGAAAAGACAGAAUGAUAAAUGGUCAAAAAGAGAUGAUGACAUCUGUGGGCCUCACAAUGAAGUGGAAGAUGGUUAGAUCUUAGAGAACAGUUUCCAUCAUCCCGGUGAUCUUUUCAUCCAACAGGUGGUGGCCUGUCCAGAAUGUGACAGCCAUGGGAAGAAACGAUCAGGUUCCUUGGUGGCAUUGUGGACCCCACAGCUUCUUUUCUUGGCUACAUGCUCCUUUAAGUGAGGAAAGAUGUCAUUCUAGGCCCAUCAUUCCAUCUGAUCACCUCUGUGCCUCCUUUAAGGACAGGAAAGUGGGGAUGUGGCAGAGUCCUGUGCAGAGCGAGCGCGGCCGGCCCAGCACACAAUGGGCCCACCAGAGAGUCACCAGAUCCUUGGCGAGAAGGACAAUGGGAGCAGCAGCCACCCAGGCCCUGUGGAGCACUGGGCCACAGGCAAC
rnacentral:lncRNA from 1 species